rnacentral:rRNA from 1 species
CAAUAAGUUAAGUAAGGGCGUAUGGCGGAUGCCUAGGCUCUCAGAGACGACGAAGGACGUGAUAAGCUGCGAAAAGCUACGGGGAGGGGCACAUACCUUAUAAUCCGUAGAUCUCCGAAUGGGGCAACCCGGCACAGUGAAGCUGUGUCACCAUGUAAAUGGGGUAAACCCGGUGAACUGAAACAUCUAAGUAACCGGAGGAAGAGAAAACAAUAGUGAUUCCGUUAGUAGUGGCGAGCGAACGCGGAUUAGCCCAAACCAGUGUUGUUACGGCAAUACUGGGGUUGUAGGACCACAAUAUUUGAUGCUAAUUGAAUUAGAACUGUUUGGAAAGACAGACCGAAGAGGGUGAUAGUCCCGUAUAAGUAAGAUUAGUUAUUGAUAGUGGUAUCCUGAGUAGUGCGGGACACGAGUAAUCCUGUAUGAAUCCACCGGGACCAUCCGGUAAGGCUAAAUACUCCUGAGAGACCGAUAGUGAACUAGUACCGUGAGGGAAAGGUGAAAAGAACCCUAAGUAAGGGAGUGAAAGAGAUCCUGAAACCGUACGCCUACAAGCGGUCGGAGCAUAUUUAUAUGUGACGGCGUGCCUUUUGCAUAAUGAGCCUACGAGUUACUGUUUCUAGCAAGGUUAAGUAUUUAAGAUACGGAGCCGUAGCGAAAGCGAGUCUGAAUAGGGCGAUUUAGUUAGUAGUAGUAGACGCGAAACCGAGUGAUCUACCCAUGGGCAGGUUGA